rfam:Oreochromis niloticus linkage group LG8-24, whole genome shotgun sequence.
GGUCCCAUGGUGUAAUGGUUAGCACUCUGGACUUUGAAUCCAGUGAUCCGAGUUCAACUCUCGGUGGGACCU